rnacentral:lncRNA from 1 species
GCUAAAUAAAGCCAUCAGCACAGCCUUUUUACCUGGGUAUGCACUUUCUCAGACAAAUAGCAGGAAGCUCGUGCAUGCAAAAGACAAGCCAGGACCAGAAAUUAGCAUUUUCUAUUGAUUGCUGCCAACUGAGUUCAAAUAGAGGGAAUGGCCCCAGCCAAGAUGAAGAAAGACUUCAAAAAGCCAAUUUAUAGAGGCUUA